GCCAUCAAAUUCUGCAUAUCUAAAAACAGCUGCCAAAGUAUCCGGUUCGCAAAAACAUAACCUUAGCAGGAUACUACCUGAGUGGGCGUGCAUUUUGGCCAGAGUCAAAACUAUGUAAAACUGCCAAUAAUUACAUCAAUCAUCCAGGUAAUAAUAUGACCCAGCAGACUUCUGCUCUCUAUCCUUGGUAGAGUCUAACUUGUUGAUUCUCGGUCGAUAAUUCGUUGGGUCCCGCCUAAAAGUGAUAUCUAGAUGCUGCAACAGGUGAAGCAAAAUCAAAUUCUCAGUGGAAAGAAAUCAUAAAUACCAACUAAAAUUUAAAUAGUACAGUGUAUGACAAAUGACUUGAGCAGAACUGAGCUAUUGAGACAAGCUUCAUUGAAGUUCACAAUAAGCAAAACCACUACAUGGCUCAAAAAGCAGAGAGCCUCCAAGCAAGGUGAAAUUUUCAAAAGCUUAUGUCCAAAAUUGGACUAAUGAAAAAUAAAACAAUUCAGUUGGUUUUUUUCUUGAACUUAAUCUUUCUUAAUUCUCUUUAAAACAUGAACAAUUAGUACUUACUGAUAAGAAGAGAUUCAUUCCAGUCAACAAUGACUGAGGCGAAUUUGCUGUACAGUCCACAGAUGGCCUUCCCUCGUAUACGAUAACUCUGUCAGCCAGGUAAGUUGCCAUUAUAAAAUCAUGCUCUACCACAAAUGCAGUUUUCUUCGCAUGAAGGAUAAACCUCUUUAUGACUUUUGAAGCCACAAUACGCUGCUCAGAAUCAAGAUAAGCACUUGGUUCAUCUAUCAGAUAAAUAUCUGCAGGCUGCAUCAAGGACAGUACACCAUGCAUCAGAAUCCAUUAAAUAUAAAAAACCUAAAAUCUUUGAAAAUUAAUAUUAAAAUCAAGCUGCCUGGCUCUAGUCACAAUUUAGAAGUCACUUUUCUGUUCCCUAAUGAACCCACAAAAAGAACUGAAAAGCACUGCACCACUCACACACCCCAAGUGAAAAGAAAAAAAAAUUCUAGCCAUGACUGGUGCCACAUGACUAGUUUCAUUUACACACCAAUCUGUGUUUUAGCUACUGUUUUAUAUUCAAAUCAUUGAUACUCGCUGCAUAAAUCAAGAAUCAACCACAAACUACUGAAACAGGAAAGAAGUAAAGUAGAACCCCUGAAAGAAAUUUCAGGGACUGUUUGCAGCUUAGGUUCUUCACAUGUUCAAAAAAGCAUCCCUGGAGUCACCAGGUAUAGACCUGCAGUCUUCCCCCGUGUUGUCAAAUGAGGACAGUGUUUCCUGUCUUAGGUCUUGAGUCUUCCAUCAGGCUUUUCUGUGAAUUUUAGGGAGCUUUGGUACUUGGUAAGUCCUAAUUUUACUCCAGCGCCUCAAAUCUUCAAAUAUCAAUAUCCAUCAGCUGGUUCUAGUUACAAUUACAGGAAUGCUGCUAACAUACUCAUGUUACUGCUUUUUGUGAACCCCCCCACCCCCCAAAAAAAUAAAAUAAAAUAAAAUAAAAAGAAAAAUUGAAAAGCACUAGCACUACAUUCCAUAUAGCAGACCCCAAGUAGUUUAGAAUUAAGGUUCAGUUGCUAUUCUUGUACCUAAAGCUAAAAGUCCAUCUCAACAAAGUAAAAGAAAUUCAAUCAACCUAUACAAAUGAACUCAUCAACCUCCCAUGAAACCCUCAAACCACCCUUCAAGUGAUUCUUCAACAAUUUUUGCAAAAGCCAUUCCAUCCAUCAGUUCAAUUAUACAAGAGCAAUAGAACCAACCACAAAACAGAUUAUAGAAUCAAGUGAAAUGAAUUAAAAGUUAAAAUAUCACCAAAGAGUCAGUUGUAUAUUCAUUACACCAAAAUGAGUUACUGAAUUACAAAUAAGUUAAAGUGAUCACCUUCCCAAGACAGAGGCACAAAGCAACUCUUUGCAACUCCCCACCGGAUAGAUUCACUACUUCUUGAUCCAUUAGUUGUUCUAUAAGAAGUGGUUUCAUGACAUCUGAUACAAACUGAGGAUGUGUAUAAGAAUCACGAAUUUUUUGAUGUAGCAAAUGUCUAACAGUAGAUUGGAACUUAGGACUGAUCUUCUGGGGCUUGUAAGAAACAUUAAACUCAGGUAUCUCCACAUCAGAAUCUUCUAUAGUAUCAGGUUUCAAUAAGCCAGCCUGUAUAUUUGGCCAAGAAUAUAAAUUGUUCAACAAAUGCCAGAUUUCAUGGCAAAAGAAUGUUCUGUAAAAUUAUUUGCAGAAAGAUGUACCAGCAUACGAAUAAAUGUUGUCUUCCCCGUCCCAUUCUCGCCCAGCAUAACAAUUAUCUGAGAAUCUGUAAAUUCACCCUCAAUCACACGAAGCUUGAAGUUGCCCUGAGUUUUAGUCAUGGUUGGAUAUUUGUAGCGUGCAUAUGUUUCUAUCUCCUCAGCACUCUCUUGCGGAGUCUCAGCAACCUAUAAAAGGCAACUAGUUUGGUAUCAAGCAGGGAGGGAGGGAGCAAGCGAUAGAAUGUAUCUUUGUGUAGAUGCAAAAACAUAGCAAAACUACCUUGAAGGUUAAUGACUCAUCCCGGAAUCGAAGAUUUUCUGUGGGAACAAAUCCAGCCAAGAAUAUAUUAAUCCCUUCCCUGACAGAGAAGGGAAGGGUUACAACUCCAUAUGCACCCGGUUUCCCAUAUAAGCAGCAAAUGAAGUCUGAUAAAUAAUCGAGGACACUAAGGUCAUGCUCCACCACAAUAACAUAGCUGAAACAAAAUUGAAACAAAUGCAAUUAAGUUUUAAGUGUCAAAAUGAAAAAAAAAAAAAAUUUGAAAACAGAUGAAAGAAGUUUAAACCUAUUAGGCCUGAGCAAAGAUCUGAUAACUUGGGCAGCUUUAAGCCUCUGUUUGACAUCAAGAUAACUUGAAGGUUCGUCAAACAUAUAUAUCUCUGCAUUCUGUAUUGCAACGACAGCAAUAGCAAAACGCUGGAGCUCCCCACCAGACAGAUCCCCCACAUUACGAUCUAUAACCUGGUUCAGCUCAAGAUCAUCACAGAGUUCUGCUUUCAUCUCUCUCUCAUCUUUUUGGUCGAGCACCUGCCCUACAUUACCUUGGACUGCUUUUGGAAUGUGGUCAACAUACUGAGGCUUUAUGAUGGCCUGUAGAAUAUGAAAUUGUCUUAGCAAGAAAGAUUUAGAUGAAUGUGAGUGAAUCAUGCAUUGUUCACAAGAUUACAUAUUUAAUAUUUUUCCUCUCUAUUCCUACCAUGGUAAGUAGAAAAGUACAUUACAAAAAGAGAAGUGUAAGGAACACAAACUUUAAUAUAGCAAGCCAAAACAAAGUCUUCUUAUGCGAACCCAGAAUUUCUUGUAAAAGGGAAAAAAAGAUUAAGGAAUAAACAUCUCAGGGUAAAAAUUGAAUAUGAAAACAACAAUUACACAUGGAAGGAAAUAAUGCUUCAUUCACAUCCAAACAGAUGCAUCACAGAACUUCAGGAACUGAAAAGACAAAACACAAGAGGGUAAGAAUCCAAAUUACAAGAUAAUUUGCAUUAAAUCUGUGAAAUAAGUUCACAGUUUGGUGGAGAAAUAGGAGGGAAAGAAAAUCACAGAAAUUGGAGGAAGAUGGAAUGAAUUUCUCUUAUUUGAACGAGUAUGGGUUAGCAUUAUUAGAUUUAAACCAACAAACUGAAUCAGAUUCACACAUGUUUGGUUUUUCAGUUCAGUUGUUUAUUUUUACAAUUUGCUUUUCCAAGUAUAUUUUCAUUAUUUCCAUUAGGUUAUGUUUUUACAAUUAAAAGUUGAAUCAAUCAGACCAACUGAAUAUGUAUCAUUUAAUAAAAACUGAAACUGGUGCAGAUGUUCAGUUUGGUUUCGCUUCUAAGAAGUUUCAAUUUAUUCAGUUUUGUUAAAUUCCAAACUGAAUCACAAUAAUAUCUCUUACUUUUGACAGAUAACAUUUAACGGGAGGAUAAUUUAGUAGUUAUAUUGAGCUUCUCUUCACUUCUACCAAAAUUUGGGGUAGAAAGUUUUGUGGAUCCCACAGGAGCAUUGUAAGUGCAUAACUUUUCUUCAUGUAUUUUCCAUCUCUUCCAAACAAGUUAUCAUUUUAUCCUCCCCUUCUUCCUCUCCCCGCUUUUAUUCCUUCCCAAAUAUAGUGUUAACAAUUAUGAUUAUCCCAUUUGAGAUUGUUAAGCUUCUCUUCACUUUUACCCUAAUUUGGGGUAGAAAGUUUUGUGGGCCCUACGUGCAAGUAUAUUUUCAUCAUUUCCAUUAGGUUAUGUUUUUACAAUUAAAAUUUGAAUCAAUCAGACCAACUGAAUAUGUAUCAUUUAAUAAAAACUGAAACUGGUGCAGAUGUUCAGUUUGGUUUCCCUUCUAAGAAGUUUCAAUUUAUUCAGUUUUGUUAAAUUCCAAACUGAAUCACAAUAAUAUCUCUUACUUUUGACAGAUAACAUUUAACGGGAGGAUAAUUUAGUAGUUAUAUUGAGCUUCUCUUCACUUCUACCAAAAUUUGGGGUAGAAAGUUUGGUGGAUCCCACAGGAGUAUUGUAAGUGCAUAACUUUUCCUCAUGUAUUUUCCAUCUCUUCCAAACAAGUUAUGAUUUUAUCCUCCCCUUCUUCCUCUCCCCUCUUUUAUUCCUUCCCAAAUAUAGUGUUAACAAUUAUGAUUAUCCCGUUUGAGAUUGUUAAGCUUCUCUUCACUUUUACCCUAAUUUGGGGUAGAAAGUUUUGUGGGCCCUAUGUGCAUAACUUUCCCUCAUUCUUUUCCCUCUCUUCCAAACAAGUUAUUGUUUUAUCCUCCCCCUGUUCCUCUUCCCACUUUUAUCCCUCCCCAAAUAUAGUCUUACAGUUAUCCCAUUUGAGAUUAUCUUCAAUGGAAAUUGAAAUUAAAAAGGACUACUGGAAUACCACAAAGCAUAGUAAUUCAUGGAACAAAACCCCAAAAUAUAAUGCAAUAUGAAGGCAUGCAAUUGAACAAUAUAAAAGGACUUAGGUCCAGCAAUAAAUGACUGCAUUCCACAUCAAAUAAGCAAUUGUAGUAGUGAAGAAAUAAAAAAAGUGAACAUCAUUGAUUGAAGAAUUCUGUCAUGUGCAAAUUAGAUAACACAUGUAAAUCAAAUUUUGAACCAAUGUUAUGUCAUAUCAUAAACAGUCAGUCAUCACCACACUCAAAUCUGCGCAGAAUAGUUAAAACUACAGUCAUUUAAUACAGCUAUUAAAAAAUUUGAAGUGACAGCCAGGAGAGUUAAGUGGAAGAAAAACAUGAAAGGAUGAAACUUAAGUACUUCAUAAGAUAGAACAAUAUCAAAUAUUUAAUACAAGUCCAAGACCAUGUUGAAAUGGAAAAGUACCUUCAAAUUAUCUUCCAGGAUACGGGUAAAAUAAUUUUGCAAUUCAGAUCCUCGAAAGUAGGUUAAGAUUUCCUGCCAAUCUGGAGGAUUCUGAAAAUAGAAAAGAAUAAUGCAAAGAGGUUAACAGAAAUAUGAAUCCAUCAUAUAGCAAUGAUAGGAAUUAUACAUAAAGAUAGUACAUUGAAACGACCCAAAUUUGGUUUCAGUUUUCCAGCCAAAACUUUGAGGGCAGUUGACUUGCCAAUGCCAUUUGUUCCAACUAAUCCAAGAACUUGCCCAGGCCUAGGAACUGGUAACCUGCAAUUGUGAUGUUCUGAUAUGUCAAAGGGCAUAAAACAUGAUUCUAGCUGCUUCUUUUUUGAAAGCCAAAUUAUCAUUUGAUGUCCAAAUUCCAAUACAAGAAGGCGGCGAUUAUUUGCAAAAGAACAAAAGGAUUUAAAAGACACUAUGCACCCACAAGAGAAUAGAGGCCCUAGUUCCUACCUAAUCCAAGGUAAUUGUGGGAGAGGGUCUUUUGUUUGGCUUCCCUACUAUUCAUAUAGUUAUGCCCUUCCAAACCAAUGCUUUUUCAUGACCAGAAACUAUCAUCAUGUUUCCUUCCACCUUACACAUAAAACUUGAUGUGUGCAUCUCCAACCCUAAGACUGGCACUGUAAAAAGAUGAGGAUCUUUUAUCCCCUCCCCCUCCCUUAACAAUUAUUAAUAUUAAUCCAUUAAUCCAUGCAAGCAUAAACUGACCUGUGCAAUUUAAAGGUGUUAGGACCAUAACGGUGAGUUGUAUCUUUAUCCAAAUCCUUUGGCAAAUUGAUAAUCUGAAUUGCUUCAAAUGGGCAUUUCUGCAUCAACAGAUCCAAAAAUAGUCAGUUUUGCACAAAUCCAUAAACAAAAUGAAAAACAAAAUGAAAAACAAAGACCAAGGGUCCCUACUUGAAUUUACCAACCUUAACACAAAUACCACACCCAAUGCACAACUCCUCAGAGAUAAAAGCUAUCUUAGAUGCAGGAGUAACCUCAAUACAUAAUUUCCCUGUGGAAAAAAUGUGUGAAACAGUAAGAAGAAAGACAUAUGGAUUACUAAUCUAUUGCAAAGAUCAUUAACAAAGACAACUCAAACCAAGAGAAGGAUGACAGUGAUCUCUACUCUUUGAGAUCCAACAUACACCAAGCAAGGGGCAGAAUGGAUAAAGUGAGAUCCACUCCUCGCACAAAUCAUUCCAAUUCAUAUAGUCUUCCCACUCCAGAGAACUCCAUUUGAGGUAAACAUAUAGUGAAUAUGCCAGCAGAAACCUAGUUAGCUAAAGUUUAAUUGAGCUAAGUACAAGGCUAGCUAUGAAAAUAGAAUUAUGUUAACAACAUCUGAGUUAGUAGUAAGGAAACACUUACAAAACAAACAAAAAAGUUACCUAUAUAAUGAAAGAAUCAGGUGCAGAGCACUCCAAGUUUCCAACAAAGGAGCUUUAGACAAAAUUUAUGUUAAAUUCUGUUUUGAACGCAAAAACAACAAGUGGAGACAUUGCCAAUCACCAAUCAAAGGGCCAAAGCUGUUCAAGUAUUGCAUUGAGUAAUGCACACAAUUAUUACAGAGAAAAGAUCUGGGAUACUGAUUUAAAAAGUGAACUAGAGACCAUGGAACAAACUCUGAUUGACUAAGCCGAUCAUCAAACCAAAAAAAAAAGGUAAAUAAGUAUAAGAAUAUCAUUGAGAAAAAAAAGCUACCAGUUUUGACAACAGGACAACUCUUUUUGCAUUCUUGACGGCACUUCUUAGGCUUGCAUCUAUCAGAGCUCACAAUUGCUAUACGCGUCAACCUGUCUGCCAUCCCUCCCCGUUCUUUCUUUUACCUGCCGAAUAUGUUCACGAAUACAUAACCAGUGAAAAUUAAAAUAAAGCAUUACAUGCCGAAUAUAAUGAUCUAACGAUUCAUUCGUUAUUGUUAACAAUAGAUUGCAAAUAAGCUGAACUAAUCAGAGCUCAGAUCAAUAAAAUCCAACGCCUUUGUAAGCAGACGAACUACCUCCAAGUACUAAGGUAGGAAAGAAAUUCUGGACGUAGGAUGACAUAUCUAACAAAACCUGAUCAGAACAUCUAAUGAAGAAAUCAUGAUGUUUAGCAGGAAUUCGAACAUCUAAAAACCAGCAUCACAAUCUAUGGCUUGAAUUUUCUACACUUUCGGUGCCAACAUCUAUAAACAAAUGAAAAGCAUGGGCCAAGUAAUAAAUCUCAAGCUUUAAUUGGAAAGCUCACCUCAAACACACAACAGCGACGGCGAUGUGGAUAAGCUAGUUAGGCAGAGGAUUUGACAGUAUUUUGGGCCACUUGCCUGCUCGAGUUCAACUUCAACGGGCACGGCGAUGGCUCGAAGUGGUGAACGGCAGCUGCGCGACAGUUACCGAAAGCGGCAAAGGUGAACAACAAUGGCGUUGGUGGAAUCACAGCGGUGCGGCAGCGGCAGCGGCAGCGGCAACUGAAGGACUUAGGGUUUGUAGGAGGAACCGUGAAAUAGAAGAGAGUAACUGUUUUUUAUUAAACGACAACGACAGUUCUAAAGCGGGGGAUCUGAACCUUAAUUUGCAUAAACGGUGUAGCAUGAAUUACAGUAUUUUAGUUACAUGUAUUUUCGCAGUUUUACAAUCUACUUCACAACGUAACUUCCGUUAUAUUUUAACAUCUGAAUUUUUAGGCCGUUAACACAUUAGGGAUACAUUUACUAAUGUUGUUAAGAUAGGGUGAGGGGCACAUGUCUCAUAAUCGUCACUUCUAAUGUGAUAUAAUAAUAUUAUUUAUCAUAUUAAUCGGUUGAUAUUAUUAUCACAUUAUUAAUAUUUUUUAUAAUUUAAAUAUAAACUCUUAAAUUACAAAUAAAAUAAAAUUUUAUACUAUUCAUAAUAAAAGUAUAAAACUUUUAAAAUGAAUGAGAAAAAAAAUAAAACAAAAAGAAAAUGACGGUACAGAAAAUUUAUCAUGUCUCAUUCUUCUUUAUCUCACUUUACUUUCUCUCUCUCCUUUUUCUUAUUUUUUCCAUACAUUUUGAAAAUUUUAAAUUUAUAUCGUUAAGGGUUGAACUUUAUUUUAUUUAUAAUUUAAAAUUUUAUAUUUUUAAAUUCUUGUAUUUAGAUUAUAAAAUGAUAAACGAAUAAUAUGAUCAUAAUAUUAAUAUAUUAUGUUUAAUAUGGCAAAAUGACAUAAUAUAUCACAUCAACAUAACAAUGAUGUUGACAUUCACGUCAACAUAUCUAAUAUCAUUAGCAUUUAUAUUUUCAAAAUGAUAAUUGUACAAAAGUUCAAACAAAAAAUUAAAAAAAAAUACUUUAGCCUUUAAAAUGCAAAAGUCUAAAAGUAAAUGUUAUUAAAAUAUAUUUUUUUCUUAAAAAAUAAUUAAGAAGCAACCAUCACCUAAUAAGUAGGUUGCCGGAUACAUUUAGAAAAUUUUGGCGAUUAGAGUUCGAUUUUCCUUUCUCUUUUCAGAUAUCUAUAAAAUCAAUAAAUUUUCUCUCUUAAACUACUAAAUUUGAGUGUGUGAUUUUAUUAUUGAAAUUGUUAUUGAGUUUUCUCUUUCUAAACUUUUUGGGAAAAUUCUCUCUCGGAUAUUUUUUUGUCACUUAUAGCACUUUUGGUUCUCUUUGCCUCUUUAAGUAAGCAAAUCUCUCCUUUCUAAGUCGACCAUAUGUUUGUGCUCCUUACUUUCACAUUAAGUGUAGAUAAUUUAUCAUUUUGAUUUGGUUUAUUGCAUUUGAGUUUUCAUGUGAGGAUUCCUUUUCAUUACUUGUUAAUUUUCUCUUUUUGUAUUUAUUGUAUUUUUUGCUGUCCACCUCUUCUUGCCUUUUUUUUUUUUGGAUUGUUUUCUAAUCUUGACUAGCAGUGAUAACUUGUGCAAAUGAAAAAAGUUUUAUGAUCUGUCGCGGAGCUACCAUAAGUACUGAUGACCGCCGGACUUCCUGCACCUAAAGCAAGGCCAAGCCUUAAAGAAUGAUGCAGGUCCAAGGCCCACCAAGCCUUUCUCAAAGUCAACCAGCCCCACACAACGCGGCCCAGCCUGACAAUGAGAAGCAGGCCGGACAAGUCACACGCGCGGGCUCAUCUAAAGGGAGUCUAGUCAGGUGACGUGACAAGAAGUAGAAGAGUAGGCCCAAUCACCUCGCAGCCCUACCCGCAUGCGUGCCGAGGAAAAGUAAAUGGCCGCCUGACAUGGAAAGGAGUCCUGACACAUCCGUGCAUAUGGAGCUGAGUGAUAGAGACAGCUAGCAUUGUAGUAGAGAAGUAGAUAUACAUCACGAGCAAAUGGAAAGAGGGGAACUUCUUUCUCGGCUCCAUAUUUUUUAUUUUUCUCUGCAACUAUUGUCUAUCCAUACUAUACUAGUUCAUGAACCUAACCUAAAGUUGGAGGGUCUCCAUCGGGGCAUCCCCAGUAAACCCCUGACCAUCUUUCUUUAUUUUGCAGGUCAUUUCAUCAAAUCAAAUAUUGAGGGACCCAUACGAUGGAACAAGAAAAAAAUCAAAUCUAUCAUGAAAUAAGAAAAAAUCCAUAUUUAUCAAGUACUAUCACGGUUGCCGAAGACGAAAUCAAAUUUAAAAAAGAAUAAAAGAAUAAACGAGCAGUUAUGGAUAGACAUGUGUCUAACAAAACGUAAUUAUUGUAUGUUAAUUACUCUGGAUUCCAUUUCAUAUUAUAAUUUUUUUUGAAGAGUCCAUUUAAUAUUACAUACCAAUAAAACUUUUGAGUAUUGAUAAAUUUAAAAAUUCUACACCCUAAAAAGAACCUUUGAAUUUAAGGAAAGCACAUAUUUUUUUGGUUAACAAGGAAAGCACAUAAUAGAAAUAAAGAGUUCAAUUUUCAAAAUAAAGAGAUCAAAUGAUAAUAUGUAACAGACUAAGAAUACGAUUAACCACAUACCAAGUACUAUCCAUCCCUACCCAUUUUACAUAAUCGAGUUGAAUUCACGCCCAAAAAUUCUAUCAAAGCGGGGCGCUAAAAUUGCUGGUUAAAUCUCGAUGCCCAGAUGUGGAAGAAUCUAACAACUGAAUUUUAUUAUUAAGGUGAUGAUUACGACUUCCCUUUCUUUUUACAAUGCAGCGAAGGAACGGCAAAAUAAUUAGUAGCAGCAUAAAAAUCGAGGAAAAGAAUUAAGAUGUCAUCAACGUAACAUUAACUUCAAAAAUGACUCAAGCAUUUAACAUCAUCUUUUUCUUCCCUUUGAUUUUUUAUGGAAAUCUUGUCAAAUGCAAACCUCAAGUACAAUGGAUAAAAAUAUGAUGACGCUCACUUUUGUCAAAAACUGGAGAAUAGAAAACAUGGCAAAAUAAAUAGACGUUUAUUUCUUCAACAGCCGGAAGACAUCCAUUCAUUUGUCAACUAUUAGAACAACUCGGCCUAGAUGCAAAACUAAUCAGAAUGAUGCCAUCAAAUUCUGCAUAUCUAAAAACAGCAAAUCAAAUGAAAACCUUUGCCAACGUCUCUGGUUAGCAAAAACGUAAGCAUAUCUCAGGAUACUACCUGAGAGGGCGUGCAUUUUGGCCAGAGUCAAAACUAUGUAAAACUGCCAAUAAUUACAUCAAUCAUCCAGGUAAUAAUAUGACCCAGCAGACUUCUGCUCUCUAUCCUUGGUAGAGUCUAACUUGUUGAUUCUUGGUCGAUAAUUGGUUGGGUCCCGCCUAAAAGUGAUAUCUAGAUGCUGCAAAAGGUGAAGCAAAAUCAAAUUGUCAGUAGAAAGA
rnacentral:lncRNA from 1 species